rnacentral:rRNA from 1 species
GCAGCAGCCGCGGUAAUACGUAGGCAGCAAGCGUUGUUCGGAAUUACUGGGCGUAAAGAGUGUGUAGGCGGUGUCGCAAGUUUGGUGUGAAAUCUCCCGGCUUAACCGGGAGGGUGCGCCGAAAACUGCGAUGCUUGAGUGUGGGAGAGGGAAGCGGAAUUCCUGGUGUAGCGGUGAAAUGCGUAGAUAUCAGGAGGAACACCUGCGGUGUAGACGGCUUCCUGGACCACCACUGACGCUGAGACACGAAAGCGUGGGUAGCAAACAGGAUUAGAUACCCUGGUAGUCCACGCCCUAAACGAUGCAUACUUGGUGUGGGCCAUUCAGUUGGUCCGUGCCGGAGCUAACGCGUUAAGUAUGCCGCCUGGGGAGUACGGUCGCAAGGCUGAAACUUAAAGGAAUUGGCGGGGGA